rnacentral:lncRNA from 1 species
UUGGUCCAGGCUGCAAUAAUUGACCUGGGGUUACCAGAGCAGGGGCUGGUGUGUCUGUAUGGAUAGAAUGAGAUGAUCCAACAACUGCAGGAGAGAACUGUGACACAGUUUGAUUUGGCAAACCUGAACCUGAAAUUGCAUUAGGUUUGCUGGAGACUGGUGGUGUUAAAGCAGAAGAGAACUGUGAUACAGUUUGGUAUGGCAAGCUUGAACCAGAAAUCACAUUAGGUUUGCUGGAGACCGGGGGCAUUAAAGCAGGAGAGAACUGUGAUACAGUUUGAUAUAGCAAACCUGAGCCUGAAAUUGCAUUAGGUUUGCUGGAGACCGGUGGCACUAUAGCAUUUACAUCUGGACCAGAAUUGGUCAAUGGGGUCAGUGAUGGAAAGUUAGAAGCUAGCGAAACUGCUGAAGUUGAAACAUUUGUUGCCUUGUUGGCUAAUGCAACUGGCAAAAUUUCUGAAGCUAGGGUAGCAGAAGGUGCAGGAGGCAAUGCAGAAG